CUGUAUCCCCCAUUUCUCUCUCUCUCUCUCUCUCUCUCUCUCUCUCUCUCACACACACACACACACACACAGAGAGAGAGAGAGAGAGAAAGAGAAAGAGAAAGAGAAAGAAAGGGAGAGAGUUGUA